rnacentral:rRNA from 1 species
ACUAAGCGUACACGGUGGAUGCCCUGGCAGUCAGAGGCGAUGAAGGACGUGCUAAUCUGCGAUAAGCGUCGGUAAGGUGAUAUGAACCGUUAUAACCGGCGAUUUCCGAAUGGGGAAACCCAGUGUGUUUCGACACACUAUCAUUACGUGAAUACAUAGCGUAAUGAAGCGAACCGGGGGAACUGAAACAUCUAAGUACCCCGAGGAAAAGAAAUCAACCGAGAUUCCCCCAGUAGCGGCGAGCGAACGGGGAGCAGCCCAGAGUCUGAAUCAGCUUGUGUGUUAGUGGAACGGUCUGGAAAGUCCGACGGUACAGGGUGAUAGUCCCGUACACCAAAAUGCACAGGUUGUGAACUCGAAGAGUAGGGCGGGACACGUGGUAUCCUGUCUGAAUAUGGGGGGACCAUCCUCCAAGGCUAAAUACUCCUGACUGACCGAUAGUGAACCAGUACCGUGAGGGAAAGGCGAAAAGAACCCCGGCGAGGGGAGUGAAAAAGAACCUGAAACCGU